UACGUAGGGACCGAGCGUUGUCCGGAAUCAUUGGGCGUAAAGAGCGUGUAGGCGGCCACUUAAGUCCUGCGUGAAAUCUUGCGGCUCAACCGCAAGCGGUCGUGGGAAACUGGGUGGCUAGAGUGCGGGAGAGGAGAGUGGAAUUCCUGGUGUAGCGGUGGAAUGCGCAGAUAUCAGGAAGAACACCCGUGGCGAAGGCGGCUCUCUGGUACGUGACUGACGCUGAGACGCGAAAGCGUGGGGAGCGAAACAGG
rnacentral:rRNA from 1 species